rnacentral:rRNA from 1 species
CAGCCGCCGCGGGAAUACGAAGGGUGCAAGCGUUACUCGGAAUUACUGGGCGUAAAGCGUGCGUAGGUGGUGGUUUAAGUCCGUUGUGAAAGCCCUGGGCUCAACCUGGGAAUUGCAGUGGAUACUGGGUCACUAGAGUGUGGUAGAGGAUAGUGGAAUUUCCGGUGUAGCAGUGAAAUGCGUAAAGAUCGGAAGGAACAUCUGUGGCGAAGGCGACUAUCUGGGCCAACACUGACACUGAGGCACGAAAGCGUGGGGAGCAAACAGGAUUAGAUACCCGAGUAGUCCCUGUCUCUUAUAC